ensembl:lncRNA
UUAUUUCACUCUCAGGAUCAAGGCGCUGCAAGUGGAUUUAUUUUGCACAAUAUUUUUGAAUUUUACCAGCAGCAUUUUGCUUUAAGCUCCACAUUCCAACAGGGCUAAACCAGGUCUAAACCAAAACAAAACCAGGACUAAACCAGGACUAAAGCAGGAUUAAACCAGGACUUAAGCAGGGCUAAACCUGGACUAAACCAGGACUAAACUACGACUAAACCAGGUCUAAACCGGGACAAAACCAGGUCUUAACCAAAACAAAACCGGGACUAAACCAGGACUAAACCAGGAUUAAACCAGGACUAAAUCAGGACUAAACCAGGGCUAAACCAGGACUACAUCAGGACUAAACCAAGACUAAACCAGGACUAAACCAUGUCUAAACCAGGGCUGAACCAAGGCUAAACCAGGACUAAACCAGGACUAAACCAGGACUAAACCAGGAUUAAACCAGGACUUAAAUAGGGCUAAACCUGGACUAAACCAGGACUAAACCAGGAAUAAACGAGGACUAAACCAGGUCUGAGCCAGGACUAAACCAGGUCUGAGCCAGGACUAAACCAGGGCUGAGCCAAGACCAAACUAGGACUAAACCAGUACUAAACUGGGACUGAACCAGGAAUACACCAGGACUAAACCAGGAUUGAACCAGGACUGAGCCAGGACUAAACCAGGUCUAAACCAGGACUAAACCAGGACUGAGCCAGGACUAAACCAGGUCUAAACCAGGACUAAACCAGGGCUGAGCCAGGACUAAACCAGGUUUAACCCAGGAAUAAACCAGGACUAAACCAGGACUAAACCAGGUCUAAACCACAACUAAACCAGGACUGAGCCAGGACUAAACCAGGUCUAAACCAGGACUAAACCAGGACUGAGCCAGGACUAAACCAGGACUAAACCAGGUUUAACCCAGGAAUAAACCAGGACUAAACCAGGACUAAACCAGGUCUAAACCACAACUAAACCAGGACUGAGCCAGGACUAAACCAGGUCUAAACCAGGACUAAACCAGGACUGAGCCAGGACUAAACCAGGACUAAACCAGGUUUAACCCAGGAAUAAACCAGGACUAAACCAGGGCUGAGCCGGGACUAAACUAGGUCUAAACUAGGACUAAACCAGGGCUGAGCUGGGACUCAAGCAGGACUAAACCAGGAUUAAACCAGGGUCAUAUAUUAUA